CAAGCUAUCACUUUCGGAACUCACCCGUGUGGACCCUGCCUGCUGUUCCCUGCCAGGUGCCCAGCCUGGACCCUUUUGUCUGAUCCAUACAGCUCCCUGAGAAGUGGGCAUUCAUUACCUGGGCUUCUAGAAACAAGGCGCCCACUGACUCAUGGAGAUGACCACAGGGUCUGAAGACCACAGUGACGGCCAGUCUUUCCUUCCUAAGACCCAGAAAGCAAUUCCCGAGGAGCCGACAGUGGGACAAUCUACCCCCAGCAACACAGCAAACACAGCAAGUGGGGACAGAACUCACCUGCUUUUGCCGCUGGUGUAUGAAGAACUUUUUCCUUUUGAAAGAAAUUUUGAGUAUGUUCACCCUGUAAAGAGCAAAGCAGAACAAAGCCACGCAUAGCACAAAAAAUAAAGCAAGAUGCAAAUCGAACAAAGGCAUCGGGGCUCGGCCGGGCUACGGCUGACCCUCUUCUGCAUGGGUCCUCUAUUUCAUGAUCCGACGACGACGGUGGGUUGCUGGGAGUAUGUCCUGGCCGAACCCAAGGAGCUGACCGAGCCGGAUCUCCACGGGGCCUCUGGAUGGGGAGGCAGCUUUGAAAGAGCUAGGAGUGCCGGCCAUGCGCAUUCUUUGCUCUCAGUCUCUUUGUGACACUGAAGCCCUGCAGGAGCUGGUAACUACAUGGGGGGAGACAGCUGAGGGCAGUGUGGAGCACAGGGAGGACAGGCCUGGGUUGCACCCCAGCUCUGUUACUUAACAGCCACGUGUGCAUAAUACAGAAUAAAAGGCACUGGUCAUCACCAAA
rnacentral:lncRNA from 1 species